ACAAGCAUGUCGGAAUCGGUAAACGAAUCUUUCUUAAGAAAAGACGCCUUAAACGGCUUGAGAGUUCGAGUCUCUCUGCUUGUA
rnacentral:tRNA from 1 species